rnacentral:rRNA from 1 species
GACGAACGCUGGCGGCGUGCCUAAUACAUGUAAGUUGAGCGAUGAAGAUUGGUGCUUGCACCAAUUUGAAGAGCAGCGAACGGGUGAGUAACGCGUGGGGAAUCUGCCUUUGAGCGGGGGACAACAUUUGGAAACGAAUGCUAAUACCGCAUAACAACUUUAAACAUAAGUUUUAAGUUUGAAAGAUGCAAUUGCAUCACUCAAAGAUGAUCCCGCGUUGUAUUAGCUAGUUGGUGAGGUAAAGGCUCACCAAGGCGAUGAUACAUAGCCGACCUGAGAGGGUGAUCGGCCACAUUGGGACUGAGACACGGCCCAAACUCCUACGGGAGGCAGCAGUAGGGAAUCUUCGGCAAUGGACGAAAGUCUGACCGAGCAACGCCGCGUGAGUGAAGAAGGUUUUCGGAUCGUAAAACUCUGUUGGUAGAGAAGAACGUUGGUGAGAGUGGAAAGCUCAUCAAGUGACGGUAACUACCCAGAAAGGGACGGCUAACUACGUG